rnacentral:rRNA from 1 species
UGGGGAAUAUUGCACAAUGGGCGAAAGCCUGAUGCAGCAACGCCGCGUGAGGGACGACGGCCUUCGGGUUGUAAACCUCUUUUAGCAAGGAAGAAGCGAAAGUGACGGUACUUGCAGAAAAAGCGCCGGCUAACUACGUGCCAGCAGCCGCGGUAAUACGUAGGGCGCAAGCGUUAUCCGGAAUUAUUGGGCGUAAAGAGCUCGUAGGCGGUUUGUCGCGUCUGCUGUGAAAACCCGAGGCUCAACCUCGGGCCUGCAGUGGGUACGGGCAGACUAGAGUGCGGUAGGGGAGAUUGGAACUCCUGGUGUAGCGGUGGAAUGCGCAGAUAUCAGGAAGAACACCGAUGGCGAAGGCAGAUCUCUGGGCCGUAACUGACGCUGAGGAGCGAAAGGGCGGGGAGCAAACAGGCUUAGAUACCCUGGUAGUCCACCCCGUAAACGUUGGGAACUAGUUGUGGGGUCCAUUCCACGGAUUCCGUGGACGCAGCUAACGCAUUAAGUU